AGAGUUUGAUCAUGGCUCAGAACGUACGCUGGCGGCACGCCUAACACAUGCAAGUCGAACGCAGUAGCAAUACUGAGUGGCAAACGGGUGAGUAUAAUGUGGGAAUCUGCCUUUUGGUUUGGAAUAACACGGGGAAACUUGUGCUAAUACCAAAUAAGCCCUUACGGGGAAAGUUUUAACGCCGAAAGAUGAGCCCGCACUUGAUUAGCUAGUUGGUAAGGUAAAAGCUUACCAAGGCAACGAUCAAUAGCUGUUCUUAGAGGAAGACCAGCCACAUUGGGACUGAGACACGGCCCAGACUCCUACGGGAGGCAGCAGUGGGGAAUCUUGCACAAUGGGGGAAACCCUGAUGCAGCGAUGCCGCGUGAGUGAAGAAGGCCCUUGGGUUGUAAAACUCUUUCGUCGGGGAAGAAAAUGACUGUACCCGAAUAAGAAGGUCCGGCUAACUUCGUGCCAGCAGCCGCGGUAAUACGAAGGGACCUAGCGUAGUUCGGAAUUACUGGGCUUAAAGAGCUCGUAGGUGGUUAAAAAAGUUGAUGGUGAAAUCCCAAGGCUCAACCUUGGAACUGCCAUCAAAACUUUUUAGCUAGAGUGUGAUAGAGGUAAGUGGAAUUUCUAGUGUAGAGGUGAAAUUCGUAGAUAUUAGAAAGAACACCAAAUGCGAAGGCAACUUACUGGGUCACUACUGACACUGAGGAGCGAAAGCAUGGGUAGCGAAGAGGAUUAGAUACCCUCGUAGUCCAUGCCGUAAACGAUGUGUGCUAGACGUUGGAAAUAUAUUUUUCAGUGUCGCAGCGAAAGCAUUAAGCACACCGCCUGGGGAGUACGACCGCAAGGUUAAAACUCAAAUGAAUUGACGGGGACCCGCACAAGCAGUGGAGCAUGUGGUUUAAUUCGAAGAUACGCGCAGAACCUUACCAACGCUUGACAUGUUCGUCGCGAGACUAAGAGAUUAG
rnacentral:rRNA from 1 species